rnacentral:lncRNA from 1 species
UCGGAUAACUCCGACUUAUCCAAAAUAACAUAAAACUUCUGAGUACGCAGCGGAAUAAGGUUCUGAUUACAUGUAUGAAGACAUGUAACCCUAGAGUUCAUUAAUACAUAAUAAAACAAAAGAAUCCCGCUCGUCACUUCAUCACCAUCGGCAGCUGCUCAACCUGCACAUUUAGAAAUAUAUGCAGGGCUUGAGUACAAAAGUACUCAGUGGGCACGUAUGCCUAAGUAUAAAAACACAUGCUUCAAAACUGUAAAUUGUCAUGCCAUCAUAAACAGUACAGCAAGGGAGUUUUUCGCUAAAAGGCCCAAGCUUACUAAAUUCAUUUGUGAUUCUUAAAGUUCGACUGCAGUCUAAGUUCUCUUGUAAUCUAUCAUAUCUGGAACUGUGUGCCGGAGAGGUGGCCACCUCUCACGGUCACUUGACCGGCCAACCCGCUAGAUGACUCACGGUCACUGGUGUACACUAGCCCUGGCAGGAUAGCUAUCAACUGCUCAGGACCCGAAUUCGAUUGCAUAAUAAAAGUCACAUCAGAUAGAUAUCAUACUGAAAUUUAAAUAUUUUAUGGCAAGACAAUAUUUGAAAUAACUUCAAUUAAUUUAGUCAUGAAAUAACUUGCUUGAACGUAACAUUUAAACUCAUUUGAUAUAUAUGAAAGUAAUGCCCACCUGAUAGUAAUUUUCUGUGAUACAAAAGCUCCUCAACAGAUUAUCAAUCUCGCCCUUGACCUUUAUUACGAGAAUAUAUGUACAUAUAUAAGAUAUUUGCUCGAAUAAAAAAAAUCCUCAAAUGAGAAUGUGUAUUUAACUAUGCAUGAUCCUUAUGCAUGAAUUAUUAUUCUGAAAUAAUAAUCAGGGAAUUUCUAUUGUUAAUCCAAGCUAUCGGAUUUAAAUAAAAACUAAGUUUCGUCUCAUGAAGCCGGAUAAUUAAUAAAAAUUAAUCCGUUCUCUUAGGGUGUUCUAAUCCGCCAAUUAAAUAAACCUUGCUCCUCGUAGUCAAUAGAAAAUAAAUACUUCAACUUAUUCGCUUUAUAAUCUCAUAAUUAAUCGGGCUUAAUAAAUAAGAACAAGUAAUGUUAUAAAAUUUAAAAAAAAUAAAAUAAAAUAAAAAGGCUCAACAUAAGGCACAUAAGAAUCACAAUCAAACAUCAUCAAAACAUGCUCUGUUUUUACACUGACUCAACUUCAAAAUUUAAUCUGUUCUGACUCCGACAUCGCCUGGACUCGAGACUCAUACCGAAAGAAAGAUCUUCGAGUCUAGUUUCAUAUAAAAAAAAGUAGAGUCGAAAACUCCAAGUGGUUUGAGAGAUAUGACGUUUUUACCACGAUCUACCAUGUUCGGUAGUUUUGAACAAUCGAAAACUUGGAUUUUUGAAAAAUAGUAAACGUUGUCAAACUGGG